UUGUCAAAUUGUCUAGUGCUGUGUCAAAUGUCACGUAAAUUUUUCAAUCAAGAAUUAUGUAAAAGCUACUAAGAUCGAAUGUGCUUAUUGCAUUUAUAAAGAUUGUGUUCAUUGGUUAGAAAUUAUAAACAAUUUAGAACCACCUGCUCCUGUUCAAGUUUAUAUUAAUAAUUAACAAAAUGAGCGGUAAACAGAAACAAGGCGCCGGUGACGAUGACUUAUCAGCUAAGUUAGACUUGUGCCUUACAGAUGGAAUUAUAAAAACUGGUGGUGGCAUUGCCCUUGGUGCAAUCACAUCAGUAUUAUUCCUGGGUCGGAGGAGAUGGCCCAUUAUAGCCGGCAUGGGCAUGGGGAUUGGGCUGGCAUAUUCCAACUGUGAAAAUGAAUUAAAUCCCAGCAAGUCUAGGCAUGCAUAGUUGGUAAAGGCUUCAAGUGAUAAGAAUCAUGUGAAAGCAAGAUUACAGAAUGUUAAGAACAUGUUCAGUAGACAACUUGUUUAGUAAAAUGUUGUUUUGUGUUAUUGUACAAAUAAUUAUUUAAUUAUU